UCAACAUCUCUGGAAAUUGUCCUAGGGACCUAGAGGAAAUGGAGAAAAUGCAUUUAAGAAAAUCCACCAAACUCCUGUGCCCUCCUCUUCCCUCCCUCACUGAGAUAUAAACAAGCUGCCUCAUGUCUGUCUUGUCUUGUUGGAAGCCUGGGGCUUGACAUCAGAAACUUAUCAUCUCAGGAUGUGUGCACCACACAGUUCUCUACCCCAAAAGUCUUCUUCUUACUUCGUUAAACAACAUGAUUUUCAGGCAUUGCUGAAAAUAAUUGACUUUUUAAAAAAUAUCAAGACUAAGCUCAAGAUCUGGAUUUCACAAUGCAUUUAUUACUUUAUGUGUCUUCUCCUCAUUCUCAUGUGAAUUUGUAUUCCAGGUGCUAAUUAAUCAUGCCAAGGCUUUCUUCCCUUUCUAGAUAACUUGCAUUGUUUGGGGCGCUAACUGGUUGGUGUCUUUACUGUUUUGUCAAACAUCAGCCCCUUUAUUGUCUUUGGCCCAUCAAACAAGUCCAUGGUCGUUUAUUUAUUUUCCAAGGCUGGUUUUCCUGUGGGGAUGAGCAAUGACCUUGAUGAUCCCUCUAAGGUCUCACGUGUGGCUGUGAAGAAGUGUAGUGGAGCAAGUGCCAGUCAGAGGCAAUGUAGCCAAGCCCAGACCCCUGCCGUUCCUGUCUACAGCCUCUCUGUCUCAACUCCUCACUGAAGGAAAGGGCAGAAUGCCUCAAAAGUCAAGACAAAGUUGGGGCAUGUUAGAGCUCCUGGGACCAUGAGAGAGUGGACAGCAACCCCAGAAAUCUGCUCAACACUGAGUGAGGGAGGUGGUGGACUCUGUUUAUCCAAUUUGUUGGCCUUGUCUUCAGAUUCAUCAGAAAUGAGUAGGAGACCAGGUGAGAGAUUGCACAUAGACUCUCCCACACAGGUGGGACUGCACCUGAGGGUACUUGAUCUUGCUGUUGAUACAGGUGAAUAACUCCAUUUGGUUGGCCAUGAAGGACAUCUAAAUACACAUGAUAAUGGUGGACCAGGUAGAGAGUCAAGAAAGGUUGGGCCCAAAGU
rnacentral:lncRNA from 1 species